rnacentral:rRNA from 1 species
AAUUGUGACCUCAAAUCAGAGGGAUUACCC